ensembl:lncRNA
CACCUCCUCUCUUUGGAAUAUUCCUGAGACAGAAAUAAACAGGAGGGUCAGAGCCCCUGCACUCUCACAUCUCUUCCUGACGGUGGCUGUCGUAUUUGUCUCUGGCUCAAUAACAAAUUACCCCUCAAACUCAGUGGCUUAGAACAGCAAACACUGGGUGUUUCCCAGUUCCUGUGGGUCAGGAAUUCAGGAGCAGCUGAACUGUGUGGUUUUGCCUCAGGGUCUCCCAAGAGUCUGCAGCCAGGACUUGGGCAAAGGCACAAUAUCCGUUCACACAGCUGCUAGAGAGACCUCCGUUCCCUGCUGUGGGACGUCUCCACAGUCUCCAGAAUCAACGACUGACAUCUCUACUUCACACAGCUUGUUUCUAACAAGCACAAGACAAUCUCGAGCUGCAAUGCUCCCUCUUUCAGAGCGAGCAAAGAAACGUGAGAGCCCGCCACCUAAGACCGCGUCCUUGCCCUCUGGACAGAAAUGGGACCACUCCCUCGAACUGGCUUUCUCAAAGAGCCAGAGAAAUGCUAAACAGUAACCGAUCUGGAGGACGAAAACAAGGUGGCACGAAUUGUUCACCUUCCUCCAGGUCCCGAGCGGAGGAGGCUGGCUCGGGGCUGCUCGGGCCAGCGCGCCCCCCGAUCUUCUCCGGACUGAAGGUGAAGGGGAGGCGCCCAAGCCUCAGAGAUGCUCUCCACACUCGGAUGGGGCGGGUCUGCAAGCAAUGCCAGGGGCCGGAGGAAGGCUCCCAUUG